ACGCUGGCGGCGUGCCUAAUACAUGCAAGUCGAACGAACUCUGGUAUUGAUUGGUGCUUGCAUCAUGAUUUACAUUUGAGUGAGUGGCGAACUGGUGAGUAACACGUGGGAAACCUGCCCAGAAGCGGGGGAUAACACCUGGAAACAGAUGCUAAUACCGCAUAACAACUUGGACCGCAUGGUCCGAGCUUGAAAGAUGGCUUCGGCUAUCACUUUUGGAUGGUCCCGCGGCGUAUUAGCUAGAUGGUGGGGUAACGGCUCACCAUGGCAAUGAUACGUAGCCGACCUGAGAGGGUAAUCGGCCACAUUGGGACUGAGACACGGCCCAAACUCCUACGGGAGGCAGCAGUAGGGAAUCUUCCACAAUGGACGAAAGUCUGAUGGAGCAACGCCGCGUGAGUGAAGAAGGGUUUCGGCUCGUAAAACUCUGUUGUUAAAGAAGAACAUAUCUGAGAGUAACUGUUCAGGUAUUGACGGUAUUUAACCAGAAAGCCACGGCUAACUACGUGCCAGCAGCCGCGGUAAUACGUAGGUGGCAAGCGUUGUCCGGAUUUAUUGGGCGUAAAGCGAGCGCAGGCGGUUUUUUAAGUCUGAUGUGAAAGCCUUCGGCUCAACCGAAGAAGUGCAUCGGAAACUGGRAAACUUGAGUGCAGAAGAGGACAGUGGAACUCCAUGUGUAGCGGUGAAAUGCGUAGAUAUAUGGAAGAACACCAGUGGCGAAGGCGGCUGUCUGGUCUGUAACUGACGCUGAGGCUCGAAAGUAUGGGUAGCAAACAGGAUUAGAUACCCUGGUAGUCCAUACCGUAAACGAUGAAUGCUAAGUGUUGGAGGGUUUCCGCCCUUCAGUGCUGCAGCUAACGCAUUAAGCAUUCCGCCUGGGGAGUACGGCCGCAAGGCUGAAACUCAAAGGAAUUGACGGGGGCCCGCACAAGCGGUGGAGCAUGUGGUUUAAUUCGAAGCUACGCGAAGAACCUUACCAGGUCUUGACAUACUAUGCAAAUCUAAGAGAUUAGACGUUCCCUUCGGGGACAUGGAUACAGGUGGUGCAUGGUUGUCGUCAGCUCGUGUCGUGAGAUGUUGGGUUAAGUCCCGCAACGAGCGCAACCCUUAUUAUCAGUUGCCAGCAUUAAGUUGGGCACUCUGGUGAGACUGCCGGUGACAAACCGGAGGAAGGUGGGGAUGACGUCAAAUCAUCAUGCCCCUUAUGACCUGGGCUACACACGUGCUACAAUGGAUGGUACAACGAGUUGCGAACUCGCGAGAGUAAGCUAAUCUCUUAAAGCCAUUCUCAGUUCGGAUUGUAGGCUGCAACUCGCCUACAUGAAGUCGGAAUCGCUAGUAAUCGCGGAUCAGCAUGCCGCGGUGAAUACGUUCCCGGGCCUUGUACACACCGCCCGUCACACCAUGAGAGUUUGUAACACCCAAAGUCGGUGGGGUAACCUUUUAGGAACCAGCCGCCUAAGGUGGACAGA
rnacentral:rRNA from 2 species